rnacentral:rRNA from 1 species
AUUGAACGCUGGCGGCAUGCCUUACACAUGCAAGUCGAACGGCAGCAUGGAGAGCUUGCUCUCUGAUGGCGAGUGGCGAACGGGUGAGUAAUGCAUCGGAACGUACCGUGUAAUGGGGGAUAACGUAGCGAAAGUUACGCUAAUACCGCAUACGACCUGAGGGUGACAGCAGGGGAUCGCAAGACCUUGCGUUAUACGAGCGGCCGAUGUCAGAUUAGCUAGUGGGUGAGGUAAAGGCUAACCAAGGCGACGAUCUGUAGCGGGUCUGAGAGGAUGAUCCGCCACACUGGGACUGAGACACGGCCCAGACUCCUACGGGAGGCAGCAGUGGGGAAUUUUGGACAAUGGGGGCAACCCUGAUCCAGCCAUGCCGCGUGAGUGAAGAAGGCCUUCGGGUUGUAAAGCUCUUUCGGCCGGGAAGAAAUCGCACAGGCUAAUACUCUGUGUGGAUGACGGUACCGGCAUAAGAAGCACCGGCUAACUACGUGCCAGCAGCCGCCGUAA